rnacentral:pre_miRNA from 1 species
UUUUCUACAAAUCGGAAUGACCUGAAAUUUGGAGCAUGUGUUUAUCAAAAGUAGGAGAAUCUACGAAAAAUGUCAAAAAAACAUUUUACAUGAAAAAAUUGACCAAAAUACCUCCGAAAAUUUUUGGGGGUAUUUUGGUCAAUUUUUUUUUCUUGAAUUAUUUUUUUGUACAUUUUUAUUAGGUUUGCCUCACUAAGAUGUACACAUGCUCCAAAUUUCAGGUCAUUCUGAUUUGUAAAAAA